AGAGUUUGAUUCUGGCUCAGGAUGAACGCUGGCGGCGUGCCUAAUACAUGCAAGUCGAACGAAUCUUCUUCGGAAGAUGAGUGGCGAACGGGUGAGUAAUACAUAGGUAACCUGCCCCUGUGCGGGGGAUAACAGGAGGAAACUCCUGCUAAUACCGCAUAGCCAUGAGCACCGCAUGGAGCUCAUGCCAAAUAUCCUUUACGGGAUAGCGCAGGGAUGGACCUAUGGCGCAUUAGCUAGUUGGCGGGGCAACGGCCCACCAAGGCAACGAUGCGUAGCCGGCCUGAGAGGGCGGACGGCCACAUUGGGACUGAGACACGGCCCAGACUCCUACGGGAGGCAGCAGUAGGGAAUUUUCGGCAAUGGGGGAAACCCUGACCGAGCAACGCCGCGUGAGCGAAGAAGGCCUUCGGGUCGUAAAGCUCUGUUGUAAAGGAAGAACGUCGGACACAGGAAAUGGUGUGCGAGUGACGGUACUUUACCAGAAAGCCACGGCUAACUACGUGCCAGCAGCCGCGGUAAUACGUAGGUGGCGAGCGUUAUCCGGAAUCAUUGGGCGUAAAGAGGGAGCAGGCGGCCGCAAGGGUCUGUGGUGAAAGACCGAAGCUAAACUUCGGUGAGCCAUGGAAACCGGGCGGCUAGAGUGCGGAAGAGGAUCGUGGAAUUCCAUGUGUAGCGGUGAAAUGCGUAGAUAUAUGGAGGAACACCAGUGGCGAAGGCGACGGUCUGGGCCGCAACUGACGCUCAUUCCCGAAAGCGUGGGGAGCAAAUAGGAUUAGAUACCCUAGUAGUCCACGCCGU
rnacentral:rRNA from 1 species